GGAACACAAUCCAACCAUUGCGCUUCUGGACGACGUUGGGAAAAGUUCUGAAGUGUACGAGAACAGAGUGGCGGUUACGCAAGCAGCGAACAACUUGGCAAUCAGCGAAAAAAUUGUUUUGAUGAACAAGACUGACUGUAAGGCAACUUAAACCGCUUAACAGUAGACCGCUGCUUAGCAUAGGUCUGCGUCCAAUUUUCUCCACGGCAAACAUGCCAAAUAUGUAGGCGGGAAUUUCAACCAACCUGAUAACGCCUCAUGGAAAGCACUUGCAUGGAAAGCUCAUAGUUGACGUAGAAGUUGCCCACCAAAUUUGUGGUCGAGUAAGUGAUACCGUAAUACCCCAUCACUCCAGCUAUCCUGGGAAACACAAUACGCCAUGAAAACUAUGACAAGUCGUUUCACCAAAAUGUUUGAACGAAAAAUGUCGAGGACACCUUCGGCUACCGGUGUUGUGGAAACCUUUCCUAUUUGCUGCUUGA